rnacentral:lncRNA from 1 species
GCUGGGUCUGGCCGCGGGCGGGGAAGCAGGAAUCCUCGGUCAUCUUCCAAGUGGGCUGCUUUCUGCGAUAGCUUCCUGUCCCCCUCCGACCCAUUCCUCCCAAGCGACUAAAACUCCUAAUGACAUUAUUUUAAAGCCUUCAAAACCCUCUUCCAUUGCCCUUAGAAUAAAGCCAAGUUGUGAUUUCGCCUCUACAGACCUCUCUACCCGCCCAGCUCUUCCUCGGAUAUUGUAAGCCCCGUCAAGCUUUCUUUGUUCAAGGGGUGGAGGAGGGGGCGCCUAACCUUUCCCCUUCCACCUCUUCUUACUAACUCCUGCUGGACCUUCAAGAUUUGACUCAACUGUCAGUAACUUCAAGAUGCCUUCCUGAGGGUACACCCAGGUCUCUACCUCAGGGGAAAAGACCUACCCUAGGUCUCCUGGCAGCAGCGCUGUGGCCGGAGUUGGCCCCAGUGGCGGCCUUUUUCCAAGCGGAGGAGGAACAGCCAAGCUAAGCUUGACCACCGUCACCGCCCAGGGACCUGAGCGGGAGCUGGCUAGGACAAAACCUCAAAACGGGACUUGGGAAAACCGCACCACCCAGAAAACUCAGCCCCUCCACCUCCCUCCCAGCACACACACACACCCUCUUAAUCUAAAACUCCUCCCCGGGGCAGAUAAGGAACCUAUUCGGAGAGUUAAGUUAAUUGCCCCAGGUCAAUGUGGAAAUUCACAGCCUGUCUUUCCAGCUCCUAAACCAGAAGCUGCAGAGAAGGAAGGAUUUGGGAUUUGCGGCUACACAGCCAAGGACGCUUUUGUCAUCUUCAAAGGACCCCCUACACCCUACACGCUUGGCCCGCUCUGUUCAUUGCCAACAGAGUGAUGGUUGAAUGCAUUCACAUGGUUCCAAAUUCAAAUAAACAGCAAGAAGUCUCCCUCCCACCCUGUCUGCCACCCACUUGGUUUUCCUUCUCUGGAGGCAACCUGGGUUAGUGGUCAGAAGAUGCAUUUAACUGUUUUCCAGCUGAGGCCUUGUGAGAACUCCUCGGACACCAAUUUAAAUCUUUAUGUCCAGAACUCCUUUCUCCAAUCCAGAGAUGAGGUUCCACCAUUCUUGCCCAGACUGGUUUCGAACUCCUGGACUCAAGCGAUUUGCCUGCCUCGGCCUCAAAAAGUGCUGGGAUUACAUGCAUGAGCCACCACACCCGGACCCUCUCUCUUAAAUAGUGGCCCUUUUGCCUCUCUGCAACACAGGAAAAAUUCUGUUAGCCUGCAUCAGAAGGAGUGGCAUGGAGGCUUUGGAGUUAAGAAGAUUUAAUUCAAAUUAUGUGUCCGGUGCCUGCCAGCAAUGAGACCUUGGUAAGGUUUCUUAACCUCUCUGAGCUGGGACCAUACCUUCUGCGUUGGUUUAAUAUAAAGGUUAAAUGCAUGUAAAUAAAUGACUUCUAAAAUAAAUAACAUUCUAAAAUGUUAGUAACAACUAAAUACAAUAUUUAGAUCUUGUGAGGAUUUGAUUUGAAUAAAUAAGAUUUUUUUAAAAGACAUUUUUGAGACAAAAUGUAGACUAUCUGAUAUUAAGAAAUUAAUCACUUUUUCAGAUAUGAUAAUGGCAUUGCAGUUUUUUUUAAGUUCUUAUCUAUUACAGAUACAUAAUGAGGCAUUUUGAGUGAAAAUAUAUCUAGGAUUUGCUUUCCAAUACUCCAUCCCCUCCCCAUCAAAACACUAAAUAAAUGAAACAAGAUUAGUGAAAUACGGAAAAUUGUUGAAGUUAUUCAUUAUUCCAUUUCCCAUAUGGAACUUUCCAUACUAGUUUCCCUACUGCUGUUGAAUAUUUGACAUGUUUCAAAUACAUUUGAAAUAAAUUUAUUGUCUGAGAUGAUCAGGUUGAAAAAUAAUAAAAUGAAAUAAAUUUAAAAGUAAAAUAAACAUAACCCUUUUAAGCAUUAAAAUUAAAAAUUAUGAGGCUUGUUGAAUUAUUACUGUUAUAAAUAAUUACAUACAUGUAUUUUUGAAACAGUCUUGCUCUUUCACCCAGGCUGCAGUGCAGUGGCAUAAUCACAGUUCACUGCGGCCUCAACCUCCCAGGCUCAGGUGAUCCUUGCACGUCUGCCUCCCAAGUAGCUGGGACUGCAGGUGUGCACCACCAUGCCUGGCUAAAUUUUUCUCUUUUGUAGAGACGGGUUUUGCGAUUUUGCCCACACUGGUCUUAAAGUCCUGGG